rnacentral:rRNA from 1 species
UACGUAGGGGGCAAGCGUUGUCCGGAAUCAUUGGGCGUAAAGAGCGUGUAGGCGGCUCGGUAAGUCCGCUGUGAAAGUCCAGGGCUCAACCCUGGAAUGCCGGUGGAAACUGUCGAGCCAGAGUCCGGAAGAGGCGAGUGGAAUUCCUGGUGUAGCGGUGAAAUGCGCAGAUAUCAGGAGGAACACCAAUGGCGAAGGCAGCUCGCUGGGACGGUACUGACGCUGAGACGCGAAAGCGUGGGGAGCAAACAGG